CAUUUUCAGUAAAGAAGUCCUGAGUAAACACGUUGUCGUUGAAUACCGCUUCUCUGCCGAACCUUAUAUUAGUGCCUCAUGCAGUAAUGUCUCAGUUUUAUCUCAGUUAUGCCUGCGGGCUAAGAAAACACUCUAAGGAAUUUUGCAAAUGGCAAAGAUUAAAGGUCAAGUUAAGUGGUUCAACGAGUCUAAAGGUUUUGGCUUCAUUACUCCUGCUGACGGCAGCAAAGACGUGUUCGUACACUUCUCUGCAAUCCAGGGUAACGGCUUCAAAACUCUGGCUGAAGGCCAGAACGUUGAGUUCGAAAUUCAGGACGGCCAGAAAGGCCCAGCUGCGGUUAACGUAACUGCUAU
rnacentral:sRNA from 1 species